UUCGUAGGUGGCUUGCUAAGUCAGACGUGAAAUCCCUCGGCUCAACCGGGGAACUGCGUCUGAGACUGGCGAGCUUGAGUGCAGGAGAGGAACGCAGAAUUCCAGGUGUAGCGGUGAAAUGCGUAGAUAUCUGGAGGAAUACCGGUGGCGAAGGCGGCGUUCUGGACUGCAACUGACACUGAGGAACGAAAGCCAGGGAGGCAAACG
rnacentral:rRNA from 1 species